GUUAAGCGACUAAGCGUACACGGUGGAUGCCCUGGCAGUCAGAGGCGAUGAAGGACGUGCUAAUCUGCGAUAAGCGUCGGUAAGGUGAUAUGAACCGUUAUAACCGGCGAUUUCCGAAUGGGGAAACCCAGUGUGUUUCGACACACUAUCAUUAACUGAAUCCAUAGGUUAAUGAGGCGAACCGGGGGAACUGAAACAUCUAAGUACCCCGAGGAAAAGAAAUCAACCGAGAUUCCCCCAGUAGCGGCGAGCGAACGGGGAGCAGCCCAGAGCCUGAAUCAGUGUGUGUGUUAGUGGAAGCGUCUGGAAAGGCGCGCGAUACAGGGUGACAGCCCCGUACACAAAAAUGCACAUGCUGUGAGCUCGAUGAGUAGGGCGGGACACGUGGUAUCCUGUCUGAAUAUGGGGGGACCAUCCUCCAAGGCUAAAUACUCCUGACUGACCGAUAGUGAACCAGUACCGUGAGGGAAAGGCGAAAAGAACCCCGGCGAGGGGAGUGAAAAAGAACCUGAAACCGUGUACGUACAAGCAGUGGGAGCACGCUUAGGCGUGUGACUGCGUACCUUUUGUAUAAUGGGUCAGCGACUUAUAUUCUGUAGCAAGGUUAACCGAAUAGGGGAGCCGAAGGGAAACCGAGUCUUAACUGGGCGUUAAGUUGCAGGGUAUAGACCCGAAACCCGGUGAUCUAGCCAUGGGCAGGUUGAAGGUUGGGUAACACUAACUGGAGGACCGAACCGACUAAUGUUGAAAAAUUAGCGGAUGACUUGUGGCUGGGGGUGAAAGGCCAAUCAAACCGGGAGAUAGCUGGUUCUCCCCGAAAGCUAUUUAGGUAGCGCCUCGUGAAUUCAUCUCCGGGGGUAGAGCACUGUUUCGGCAAGGGGGUCAUCCCGACUUACCAACCCGAUGCAAACUGCGAAUACCGGAGAAUGUUAUCACGGGAGACACACGGCGGGUGCUAACGUCCGUCGUGAAGAGGGAAACAACCCAGACCGCCAGCUAAGGUCCCAAAGUCAUGGUUAAGUGGGAAACGAUGUGGGAAGGCCCAGACAGCCAGGAUGUUGGCUUAGAAGCAGCCAUCAUUUAAAGAAAGCGUAAUAGCUCACUGGUCGAGUCGGCCUGCGCGGAAGAUGUAACGGGGCUAAACCAUGCACCGAAGCUGCGGCAGCGACGCUGAUGCGUUGUUGGGUAGGGGAGCGUUCUGUAAGCCUGCGAAGGUGUGCUGUGAGGCAUGCUGGAGGUAUCAGAAGUGCGAAUGCUGACAUAAGUAACGAUAAAGCGGGUGAAAAGCCCGCUCGCCGGAAGACCAAGGGUUCCUGUCCAACGUUAAUCGGGGCAGGGUGAGUCGACCCCUAAGGCGAGGCCGAAAGGCGUAGUCGAUGGGAAACAGGUUAAUAUUCCUGUACUUGGUGUUACUGCGAAGGGG
rnacentral:rRNA from 1 species